CCUACGGGAGGCAGCAGUGAGGAAUAUUGGUCAAUGGGCGGAAGCCUGAACCAGCCAAGUAGCGUGCAGGAUGACGGCCCUACGGGUUGUAAACUGCUUUUAUACGGGAAUAACGCGCCUUACGUGUAGGGCUUUGCAUGCACCGUAUGAAUAAGGACCGGCUAAUUCCGUGCCAGCAGCCGCGGGAAUACGGAAGGUCCGGGCGUUAUCCGGAUUUUUUGGGUUUAAGGGGAGCGUAGGCCGCAUGUCAAGCGUGCUGUGAAAUGUCCGGGCUAAACCCGGGCCUUGCAGCGCGAACUGGCGUGCUUGAGUCCGCGGAAAGCAGGCGGAAUUCGUCGUGUAGCGGUCAAAUGCUUAGAUAUGACGAAGAACCCCGAUUGCGAAGGCAGCUUGCUGCAGCGGAACUGACGCUGAUGCUCGAAAGCGCGGGUAUCGAACAGGAUUAGAUACCCUGGUAGUC
rnacentral:rRNA from 1 species